UUUUUUUUUUUUUUUGGUUUUUCCAGACAGGGUUUCUCUGUGUAGUCCUGGCUGUCCUGGAACUCACUCUGUAGCCCAGACCGUCCUCAAACUCAGAAAUCUGCCUGACUCUACCUCCCAAGUGCUGGGAUUAAAGGCGUGCACCACCACGCCUGGCUCUUUUUGACCUGAAAUCAAUCUUAAAUAGCAUUUUAACCCAUCUGAAAAUAGCUGAUACUUUUGAUUUUUUUGUAAAAUGAAAAUGUUACAGGUUUAAUAUAUCAGCCUUCUAGAGCAAUCAUAAGAAGCUCACACACACUUUUAUAUAUCAUCUUGUAGUCUCAUGUGACUUUAACUGUAUACUUGUUUCUCGGAGCCAGUAUCAUUAGACUGCCUUAAUAAUGACAGGAGGAAGUAAUAAAUUUAUUUUGUCAUUCGUAGUAACAAACAUCCUUUAUACGAGAUAAAGAAAGGCAUCAAAUCAUGCUGAAUUUUUCUUUUUUGUUAAAAUUGUCCCGAGUUUUCAGUUGUCUGCUUUAUCUCAAAUUCCUCUGUAGAGGUAAGUUGCUUGGUUGGUUGGUUGGUUGGUUGGUUGGUUGGUUGGUUGGUUUGUUUGUUUGUUUUCUUCCUUUAAUCUAAUCAUGUCCCCAAAGUUAGUAGAUAAAAAACUAAUUCGAUUUUUUAUGUAAAACAAGAAUGAACAGAAACAAUUUUUUUGUUGACAGCUCAGUUAUAUUGUAAUUCUUAUACUGUGUAAAAAGGUCUUAAACUAAAUUGGGCAUUGAUAAUAACAUAAGAAACAGAGAUAUACAUCAAGGGUAUAAUCUGCUUUCACCUGAUGCAUGAAAUCUGUACUGAGAAGUGGCCUAGAAGAAGUAGAAGAGUUAAGGUACUUAGAAUUCUUCAUGGAUGGUCUUAGAAACAACUUUGCUGUACAUUACUCCCAUAUAAGAGCAAUUAUUUUGAAUGGUUUGUUAAAUAUUAAUCCUACUUCACCCAGAAAUGUUGAGAAAUUCUCUUUGCCAAACAAAAUCAGUGGGCUUUCUGCUUUUACUAUACUAGCCACUCGAAGGAUUCCACCUUAUUAUACCAUUCCCUGGAGUAAAGGAAAUAAUUUUUAAAUCACAGAUUGCCUUAAAAGGCUCAAGACUGUAGCACAGUGAUGGCAAGAUUCACGGUUUACAGUAAGAAGACGUCUAGGGCUUAAGUGGUAUUAGGUGUCUAGAAUGCGAGUUUGGCACAACUCACGAAGGUUAUAGAUCCACUUUUCUCAAUCUUUCAUACUUUAGGGUUGUUCCCACACACACACACACAGGAAAGUAGCCUAGAUACCAGAUACGAGUUAGAGUAUACUUUUCCACUAGAACAGAGAAAACACUGGAGAAGUGGUUCCUUGGGGCAAGAAAUAAUAACCUAAAGCUAUUGCUGUGGUCACAUCUGUUCCUCGGUGUCCCUGAAUCCCAGGCAGUCUGGGAAUGAUCUGUAGCCCCUGUCUUCAAGUUCACAUCUGAAUGUUGAGGUCUCCUUUAAAAAUGGGAAAUCCUGAUCUCAUCCCAAAAAUGAUAAAGAAAGAUUUCCAGCAGAGGAGACCUGAGAUUCUUCAAGUCUUUAAUAAAGCAAAACAAUGUAAUAUAUUUGAUGACCACGCUGACUUGGAAGCAGAGGCACUGAGUAGAACCUGAGCGGGUUAGGACUUGGGGUAGUGUCUUUGAUCACUUAAUCCUUUCCUUUAUUAUCAACAAACAGUUGCCUUGCCAGGGGUUCAGCCGCUUAAGCUGCCUUUUCUGUUAUCAUCUGAAUAGACUAAUGGGGCCACUUUAAUACCAUAUAUUAAUGUGAAUCAUUAGAAUUGGGAAAAAACUAGCUUUUAGUCUGGCUCCUUGACUAGAAAACUGAAGAAACUGAAACAAACUGAUUAGUCUAUAUUCUCUCUUAAAGUAGUUUAUAAAUUUUAUGGGAAAGCUUACCAGGAAAGUGGAAGUUGUCACUGAAAAUAUUUUUUUAAUUGUUGUGAUUUUUAACUGGUUCUUUUUCUAUGCUGGGUAGCCAUUUUCUUCACUGAAACCGUCAUUAUGCCAUCAUUCUUGAGUUUAAGGUCUUUUAAUCAUUUACAAAGAUUUCAUUAGGAAUGUCUAUUUAGAAGACAUUUUUCCUAGCAGCUUUUGAAAAAAAAAUAAAAUAAAGGUCUCUUUUUUUUCACAGGGGAUUAUUGAAAUUUUUAGCUGAUCUCAGAACCAGAGUACUAAAAUAUCUCUCUCUCUCUCUCUCUCUCCUCUCUCUCUUUCUCUCUCUCUCUCUCUCUCUCUCCUCUCUCUCUCUCUUUCUCUCUCUCUCUCUCUCUCUCUCUCUCUCUCUCUCUCUCUCUCUUUCCCUAUCUCCCCCUUUCUCCCUCCCUCCCUUCCUCCCGCCAUCCUCCUUUUCGCUCUGUGUUUGCACUUUUAUGUGUAUUAUAAAUAUUUGCCUUAGAACCACAACACAAAUAUAAAAAUAUAAGUGAUAAUUUGUAUUAUUCAGCACUUCAAACAUGACCGUGUCUUUCACUUGUCCUUAUUGAAAUGAAUAGAAAGAUUCUUAUGCUGACAUUCCCCAAAACAUGAUUUAUGUCUACGUAAAUGACUUAGCAAAGCCACCACAAAGUCUUAAAACAAAGCAAAGCAUUGAAUUCCCAAAAGAGUAUUAAGUUCCAUUAAAAAAAAAUCUUUAAACUUACAUUUUUCAGAUGAAAAAUAAUUAUUUGAUAUUGAAGUCUUCAGCCAUUGGAAGCUAUUAAAUAAAAUAAGUUUGGAAACACUU
rnacentral:lncRNA from 1 species